CAGAAGUCAGGUCGGAUUAAGCCAUAGUACGGAAAAAACUAUGCUACCUGUGAGCCCCGUCCAAGGACGUUAAAAGAAGUCAGGCCACCACAAGUGCCAUAGCUUGAGUAAACUAUGCAGCCUGUAGCUCCACCUGAGAAGGUGUAAAAAAUCUGGGAGGCCACAAACCAUGGAAGCUGUACGCAUGGCGUAGUGGACUAGCGGUUAGAGGAGACCCCUCCCUUACAAAUCGCAGCAACAAUGGGGGCCCAAGGUGAGAUGAAGCUGUAGUCUCACUGAAAGGACUAGAGGUUAGAGGAGACCCCCCCGAAAUAAAAAACAGCAUAUKAC
rnacentral:lncRNA from 1 species